UACGGAGGGAGCUAGCGUUAUUCGGAAUUACUGGGCGUAAAGCGCACGUAGGCGGCUUUGUAAGUAAGAGGUGAAAGCCUGGAGCUCAACUCCAGAAUUGCCUUUUAGACUGCAUCGCUUGAAUCAUGGAGAGGUGAGUGGAAUUCCGAGUGUAGAGGUGAAAAUUCGUAGAUAUUCGGAAGAACACCAGUGGCGAAGGCGGCUCACUGGACAUGUAUUGACGCUGAGGUGCGAAAGCGUGGGAGCAACAGGG
rnacentral:rRNA from 1 species